UAUUGGACAAUGGGCGCAAGCCUGAUCCAGCCAUGCCGCGUGAGUGAUGAAGGCCUUAGGGUUGUAAAGCUCUUUUAUCCGGGACGAUAAUGACGGUACCGGAGGAAUAAGCCCCGGCUAACUUCGUGCCAGCAGCCGCGGUAAUACGAAGGGGGCUAGCGUUGCUCGGAAUCACUGGGCGUAAAGGGCGCGUAGGCGGCGUUUUAAGUCGGGGGUGAAAGCCUGUGGCUCAACCACAGAAUGGCCUUUGAUACUGGGACGCUUGAGUAUGGUAGAGGUUGGUGGAACUGCGAGUGUAGAGGUGAAAUUCGUAGAUAUUCGCAAGAACACCGGUGGCGAAGGCGGCCAACUGGACCAUUACUGACGCUGAGGCGCGAAAGCGUGGGGAGCAAACAGG
rnacentral:rRNA from 1 species